rnacentral:rRNA from 1 species
UACGUAGGGUGCGAGCGUUAAUCGGAAUUACUGGGCGUAAAGCGUGCGCAGGCGGUUCGUUAAGUCAGAUGUGAAAGCCCCGGGCUCAACCUGGGAACUGCAUCUGUGACUGCAUCGCUGGAGUGCGGCAGAGGGGGAUGGAAUUCCGCGUGUAGCAGUGAAAUGCGUAGAUAUGCAGAGGAACACCGAUGGCGAAGGCAAUCCCCUGGGCCUGCACUGACGCUCAUGCACGAAAGCGUGGGGAGCAAACAGG